rnacentral:lncRNA from 1 species
GAGUCAGCUCCCCCUGCAUGUGUAUCUCCCUCUGUGAAUGAUCCUUAGGCAGCUCCUCUUGUAAAUGCAUUCAUUCUUCCCCUUUGCUUACUCGGCUUGAUAGACUUGGAAGGUGGUGGAUGACAACGUGGUAAAUUAUCCACGUGAUAAGAGACUCAGCAAAUAACGUCGGCAUUAGCUCCUCCUUUUAUAUUCUUGUGAAGCUCUGGAGAAAUCAAACAAGGAAACCAAUUAAUGACAAUUACCACAAUAAUAAUAAAAAGAUGGAAUUCCUUCUAUUUUGGAUAGACACGUUCAGGUGAUUAAUAU